AUUGAACGCUGGCGGAAUGCUUUACACAUGCAAGUCGAGCGGCAGCACGGGGGCAACCCUGGUGGCGAGCGGCGAACGGGUGAGUAAUACAUCGGAACAUGCCCAGUCGUGGGGGAUAACACUUCGAAAGAAGUGCUAAUACCGCAUACGUCCUGAGGGAGAAAGCGGGGGAUCGCAAGACCUCGCGCGAUUGGAGUGGCCGAUGUCAGAUUAGCUAGUUGGUGGGUUAAAGGCCUACCAAGGCAACGAUCUGUAGCUGAUCUGAGAGGAUGAUCAGCCACACUGGGACUGAGACACGGCCCAGACUCCUACGGGAGGCAGCAGUGGGGAAUUUUGGACAAUGGGGGCAACCCUGAUCCAGCCAUUCCGCGUGAGUGAAGAAGGCCUUCGGGUUGUAAAGCUCUUUCGGCAGGAACGAAACGGUGAGCUCUAACAUAGCUCGCUAAUGACGGUACCUGAAGAAGAAGCACCGGCUAACUACGUG
rnacentral:rRNA from 1 species